rnacentral:rRNA from 1 species
UACGGAGGGUGCAAGCGUUAUCCGGAUUUACUGGGUUUAAAGGGUGCGCAGGCGGAUAUGUAAGUCAGUGGUGAAAUCUCCGGGCUUAACCCGGAACUGCCUUUAAAACUGCAUCGCUUGAAUCCAGGAGAGGUGAGUGGAAUUCCGAGUGUAGAGGUGAAAUUCGUAGAUAUUCGGAAGAACACCAGUGGCGAAGGCGGCUCACUGGACUGGGUAUUGACGCUGAGGUGCGAAAGCGUG